UACGGAGGGUGCGAGCGUUGUCCGGAAUCACUGGGCGUAAAGGGCGCGUAGGUGGCGCGACAAGUCAACGGUGAAAGCCUCGGCGGCUCAACGCCGAGUCGGCCGUCGAUACGUGUUGGGCUUGAGCACUGUAGAGGCUAAUGGAAAUUCCGGGUGUAGCGGUGGAAUGCGUAGAGAUCCGGAAGAACACCGGUGGCGAAGGGCGGUUAGCUGGGCAGUUGCUGACACUGAGGCGCGGACAGCGUGGGGAGCCAAACAGGG
rnacentral:rRNA from 1 species